GACGAACGCUGGCGGCGUGCUUAACACAUGCAAGUCGAACGGAAAGGCCCCUUUGGGGGUACUCGAGUGGCGAACGGGUGAGUAACACGUGAGUAACCUGCCCUUGACUUCGGGAUAACUUCAGGAAACUGGGGCUAAUACCGGAUAGGAAUCCUUGCUGCAUGGUGGGGGUUGGAAAGCUUCGGCGGUUUUGGAUGGACUCGCGGCUUAUCAGCUUGUUGGUGGGGUAGUGGCUUACCAAGGCUUUGACGGGUAGCCGGCCUGAGAGGGCGACCGGCCACAUUGGGACGGAGAUACGGCCCAGACGCCUACGGGAGGCAGCAGUGGGGAAGAGUGCACAAUGGGCGGAAGCCUGAUGCAGCAACGCCGCGUGCGGGAGGACGGCCUUCGGGUUGUAAACCGCUUUCAGCAGGGGCGAAGCUUGUGGUGACGGUACCUGCAGAAGAAGCACCGGCUAACUACGUG
rnacentral:rRNA from 1 species